UACGUAGGGCGCAAGCGUUGUCCGGAAUUAUUGGGCGUAAAGAGCUCGUAGGCGGUCUGUUGCGUCGGCUGUGAAAACCCGAGGCUCAACCUCGGGCCUGCAGCCGAUACGGGCAGACUAGAGUUCGGCAGGGGAGACUGGAAUUCCUGGUGUAGCGGUGAAAUGCGCAGAUAUCAGGAGGAACACCGGUGGCGAAGGCGGGUCUCUGGGCCGAUACUGACGCUGAGGAGCGAAAGCGUGGGGAGCGAACAGG
rnacentral:rRNA from 1 species